GCCCCUGUGACGUAAUUGGAAACCGUCGCAAGCUCAAACCUUGCGUUUUGCUGGUUCGACUCCAGUCAGGGGUA
rnacentral:tRNA from 1 species